GGCACAAUUUCUUUCUUUAGAUAGUGUUGAUAUGGCAACUAGUAAAUACAGUAAAUUUUGUUAUGUUAGCAUGUGUGGAAAUCUUUAAACCAUGGUUGUUACUUACCCUGCGUUAGUUUGUGCUCCACACACCUCUAUUUCAUGAUAAAAUUGACAGAAUUUGAAAACUGAUAGGGCCUACUUUGUUUCAAAUUAAAAGUAACAAAGCACAAAGUUUAUUGUGAUUGACAUUGGAUGACAGGUCCUAUAAAUAUUGUUUAGUGAAAUUCACGCAUCAGCUGAAAACAGCAUAGACUACGCUGAUACAUUUACCUGUUGUAGUUUAUCCACGUUGCGUGCACGUUAUGAAACAUGACAUUGAAGAAUUAAACAUUGUUUUGGUCAAUGAUAAAUAAAUAAAUAAAUAAAUAUUUUUUAAAGACAAAUUUAUUUUAAAGUUUGCAUAAUCUGAUAUCAAACAUUAAAGCAUAAUCUGCAUGUAUGUAUCUGUAUGUAGUCUUUGUGGGGGGCAAAACAUCAAAUGCAAUGCGUAUAGAUGAUAGAGAAAUAUACAAAUAACCAUUUCUCAAAAGCCUGAAGCACACAGCAAAAUGAUAUGUUCCAUGACCUGAAGGAGGAUUU